ACCCUUGAAAAGGGAAAGGUUCCAAAAAAAUCAUUUGUCACAAAUUACAAAAACAAAAACCAAAAGAUAUUUAAUUUUCUAUGGUGGUGUCGUCUCCUCGCUAGUAAUGGCAUUCCCUCGUAUUUAAGAAGUGGUGUGGCCUUCUCUUCUCCCCGGGUCUCUUCAACCCCCCACGUCCACUUUAAUCAAAUUCCCAUCUUUGAUCACUUUAUAAACC
rnacentral:lncRNA from 1 species